rnacentral:rRNA from 1 species
AUUGAACGCUGGCGGCAGGCCUAACACAUGCAAGUCGAACGAGUGGCGGACGGGUGAGUAAUGUCUGGGAAACUGCCCGAUGGAGGGGGAUAACUACAGGAAACGGUAGCUAAUACCGCAUACCAUCGGAUGUGCCCAGAUGGGAUUAGCUAGUAGGUGGGGUAACGGCUCACCUAGGCGACGAUCCCUAGCUGGUCUGAGAGGAUGACCAGCCACACGGUAAAUGAGAAACGGUCCAGACGCCUACGGGAGGCAGCAGUGGGGAAUAUUGCACAAUAGGCGCAAGCAUGAUGCAGCCAUGCCGCGUGUAUGAAGAAGGCCAUCGGGUUGUAAAGUACUUUCAGCGAGGAGGCGUUACUCGCAGAAGAAGCACCGGCUAACGCCGUGCCAGGAGCCGCGGUAAUUC